rnacentral:rRNA from 1 species
ACCGAAGCUGCGGCAGCGACACUGUGUGUUGUUGGGUAGGGGAGCGUUCUGUAAGCCUGUGAAGGUGUGUCGUGAGGCAUGCUGGAGGUAUCAGAAGUGCGAAUGCUGACAUAAGUAACGAUAAAGCGGGUGAAAAGCCCGCUCGCCGGAAGACCAAGGGUUCCUGUCCAACGUUAAUCGGGGCAGGGUGAGUCGACCCCUAAGGCGAGGCCGAAAGGCGUAGUCGAUGGGAAACGGGUUAAUAUUCCCGUACUUGGUGUUACUGCGAAGGGGGGACGGAGAAGGCUAUGUUGGCCGGGCGACGGUUGUCCCGGUUUAAGCGUGUAGGUGUGUGUUCCAGGUAAAUCCGGUUCACUUUAACACUGAGGCGUGACGACGAGGCACUACGGUGCUGAAGCAACAAAUGCCCUGCUUCCAGGAAAAGCCUCUAAGCAUCAGGUAACAUCAAAUCGUACCCCAAACCGACACAGGUGGUCAGGUAGAGAAUACCAAGGCGCUUGAGAGAACUCGGGUGAAGGAACUAGGCAAAAUGGUGCCGUAACUUCGGGAGAAGGCACGCUGACACGUAGGUGAAGUGAUUUACUCAUGGAGCUGAAGUCAGUCGAAGAUACCAGCUGGCUGCAACUGUUUAUUAAAAACACAGCACUGUGCAAACACGAAAGUGGACGUAUACGGUGUGACGCCUGCCCGGUGCCGGAAGGUUAAUUGAUGGGGUCAGCGCAAGCGAAGCUCCUGAUCGAAGCCCCGGUAAACGGCGGCCGUAACUAUAACGGUCCUAAGGUAGCGAAAUUCCUUGUCGGGUAAGUUCCGACCUGCACGAAUGGCGUAAUGAUGGCCAGGCUGUCUCCACCCGAGACUCAGUGAAAUUGAACUCGCUGUGAAGAUGCAGUGUACCCGCGGCAAGACGGAAAGACCCCGUGAACCUUUACUAUAGCUUGACACUGAACAUUGAGCCUUGAUGUGUAGGAUAGGUGGGAGGCUUUGAAGUGUGGACGCCAGUCUGCAUGGAGCCGACCUUGAAAUACCACCCUUUAAUGUUUGAUGUUCUAACGUGGACCCGUUACCCGGGUUGCGGACAGUGUCUGGUGGGUAGUUUGACUGGGGCGGUCUCCUCCUAAAGAGUAACGGAGGAGCACGAAGGUUGGCUAAUCCUGGUCGGACAUCAGGAGGUUAGUGCAAUGGCAUAAGCCAGCUUGACUGCGAGCGUGACGGCGCGAGCAGGUGCGAAAGCAGGUCAUAGUGAUCCGGUGGUUCUGAAUGGAAGGGCCAUCGCUCAACGGAUAAAAGGUACUCCGGGGAUAACAGGCUGAUACCGCCCAAGAGUUCAUAUCGACGGCGGUGUUUGGCACCUCGAUGUCGGCUCAUCACAUCCUGGGGCUGAAGUAGGUCCCAAGGGUAUGGCUGUUCGCCAUUUAAAGUGGUACGCGAGCUGGGUUUAGAACGUCGUGAGACAGUUCGGUCCCUAUCUGCCGUGGGCGCUGGAGAACUGAGGGGGGCUGCUCCUAGUACGAGAGGACCGGAGUGGACGCAUCACUGGUGUUCGGGUUGUCAUGCCAAUGGCACUGCCCGGUAGCUAAAUGCGGAAGAGAUAAGUGCUGAAAGCAUCUAAGCACGAAACUUGCCCCGAGAUGAGUUCUCCCUGAGACUUA